UGCUGACAGGUGCAAGGGAAAUCCCAAC
rnacentral:piRNA from 1 species